rnacentral:rRNA from 1 species
AUUGAACGCUGGCGGCAGGCCUAACACAUGCAAGUCGAACGAGUGGCGGACGGGUGAGUAAUGUCUGGGAAACUGCCCGGUGGAGGGGGAUAACUACUGGAAAAGGUAGCUAAUACCGCAUACCAUCGGAUGUGCCCAGAUGGGAGUAGCUAGUCGGUGGGGGAACGGCUCACCUAGGCGACGAUCCCUAGCUGGUCUGAGAGGAUGACCAGCAACACUGGAACGGAGACACGGUCCAGACUCCUACGGGAGGCAGCAGUGGGGAAUAGUGCACAAUGGGCGCAAGCCUGAUGCAGCCAUGCCGCGUGUAUGAAGAAGGCCUUCGGGUUUUAAAGUACUUUCAGCGGGGAGGCGUUACCCGCAGAAGAAGCACCGGCUAACUCCGUGCCAGCAGCCGAGGUAAUUC